CUGGGAGCAAUCCCCUGAAGAGCCCGGGAAGAUGACCCGGUUGAUAGGUCACAGAUGUAAGUAUGGCAACAUAUUGAGUCGAGUGAUACUAAUAGCUCGUGAGGCUUGACCAUAUUAC
rnacentral:rRNA from 1 species